rnacentral:rRNA from 1 species
UACGAAGGGGGCUAGCGUUGCUCGGAAUCACUGGGCGUAAAGCGCACGUAGGCGGACUCUUAAGUCGGUGGUGAAAUCCUGGAGCUCAACUCCAGAACUGCCUUUGAUACUGAGGGGCUCGAGUCCGGGAGAGGUGAGUGGAACUGCGAGUGUAGAGGUGAAAUUCGUAGAUAUUCGCAAGAACACCAGUGGCGAAGGCGGCUCACUGGCCCGGUACUGACGCUGAGGCGCGAAAGCGUGGGGAGCAAAC